rnacentral:rRNA from 1 species
CCUACGGGAGGCUGCAGUCGAGAAUCAUUCACAAUGGGGGAAACCCUGAUGGUGCGACGCCGCGUGGGGGAAUGAAGGUCUUCGGAUUGUAAACCCCUGUCAUGUGGGAGCAAAUUAAAAAGAUAGUACCACAAGAGGAAGAGACGGCUAACUCUGUGCCAGCAGCCGCGGUAAUACAGAGGUCUCAAGCGUUGUACGGAAUCACUGGGCGUAAGGCGUGCGUAGGCUGUUUCGUAAGUCGUGUGUGAAAGGCGCGGGCUCAACCCGCGGACGGCACAUGAUACUGCGAGACUAGAGUAAUGGAGGGGGAACCGGAAUUCUCGGUGUAGCAGUGAAAUGCGUAGAUAUCGAGAGGAACACUCGUGGCGAAGGCGGGUUCCUGGACAUUAACUGACGCUGAGGCACGAAGGCCAGGGGAGCGAAAGGGAUUAGAUACCCCAGUAGUC